AGCAACGUGAACGGAGUCAGGUUAUCGUACCUCCCUCAUAAGGAGGCGUCCCUUUGGACAUCGUGGGUUCGAAUCCCACCGUUGCUAC
rnacentral:tRNA from 1 species